rnacentral:rRNA from 1 species
AUGACAUUCUUUGUCAAGUCUUUGUUUCUUCUUCUCUUGCAUUACAUUUCAGAUUUCGAUUUCUAUAAAUUUGCUCCCUAUCUUAGAUCACUAUUCGUUGUACUUUUUGUGCAUUUUUCUAUGUCGUUACAUUGGUGCAUUGAUUUCUUUUCCACUUCAUUCUUCCUAAAUAGCCCUACGAAGUUUCUACACAAAUCUGGAAAACAUGUUUUCCUUCACUUUUUAGAUGAAGUGCCAGAUAUGACACAUGACAACGAGAGCUUCCAACUUUUGACUAUAAUGUUGCAAUCAUCAAUACCUGUAGCUUUCCAACUUUUGACUAUAAUAGGCUCCGGCUCUGGCAAUAAUCGAGCAUGUGCUGUUAACUGUUCCAUUCGAUCUUGCUCGUCAGAUAGUUUAUUAUGUCGCGUUUGUCUCACAUGA